rnacentral:rRNA from 1 species
GUCGAACGGUGAUAGCAAUAUCAUAGUGGCGCACGGGUGCGUAACACGUAUGCAACCUACCUUAUACUGAGGGAUAGCCUUUCGAAAGGGAGAUUAAUACCUCAUAACACAUUGAACUGGCAUCAGUUUAUUGUUAAAGAUUUAUUGGUAUAAGAUGGGCAUGCGUCCAAUUAGUUAGUUGGCGAGGUAACGGCUCACCAAGACGAUGAUUGGUAGGGGAACUGAGAGGUUAAUCCCCCACACUGGCACUGAGAUACGGGCUAGACUCCUACGGGAGGCAGCAGUAGGGAAUAUUGGGCAAUGGAGGCAACUCUGACCCAGCCAUGCCGCGUGCAGGAAGAAGGCGUUAUGCGUUGUAAACUGCUUUUAUAUAGGAAGAAAUAGACCUUGCGAGGUAAGUUGACGGUACUAUAUGAAUAAGCACCGGCUAACUCCGUGCCAGCAGCCGCGGUAAUACGGAGGGUGCAAGCGUUGUCCGGAUUUAUUGGGUUUAAAGGGUGCGUAGGCGGUUUAUUAAGUCAGUGGUGAAAGACGGUCGCUCAACGAUUGCAGUGCCAUUGAUACUGGUAGACUUGAGUGGGAUUGAGGUAGCUGGAAUGGAUAGUGUAGCGGUGAAAUGCAUAGAUAUUAUCCAGAACACCAAUUGCGUAGGCAAGUUACUAAGUCUCAACUGACGCUGAG